UACCAUGGUGGUAACGGGUAACGGGGUGUUAGGGCACGACACCGGAGAGGGAGCCUGAGAAACAGCUACCACAUCCAAGGAUGGCAGCAGGCGCGCAAAUUACCCAAUCCCGACACGGGGAGGUAGUGACAAUAAGUAACAAUACGGGGUUCUUUAGGAUCUCGUAAUUGGAAUGAGUACAAUUUAAAUCUCUUAACGAGGAACAAUUGGAGGGCAAGUCUGGUGCCAGCAGCCGCGGUAAUUCCAGCUCCAAUAGCGUAUAUUAAAGUUGUUGCAGUUAAAAAGCUCGUAGUUGAAUUUCGGGGUCAGUAGGUCGGUCGUGCCACUGGUAUGAACUGGUUUUACUGAUUCCUCCCUCUUGAAGAACUGUAAUGCCAUUAAUUUGGUGUUGCAGGAAAUCAGGACUGUUACUUUGAAAAAAUUAGAGUGUUUAAAGCAGGCUUUAGCUUGAAUACAUUAGCAUGGAAUAAUGAAAUAGGACGUUUGAUCCUAUUUUGUUAGUUUCUAGGAUUGACGUAAUGAUUAAUAGGGAUAGUUGGGGGCAUUAGUAUUCGAUUGUCAGAGGUGAAAUUCUUGGAUUUAUUGAAGACUAACUACUGCGAAAGCAUUUGCCAAGGAUGUUUUCAUUAAUCAAGAACGAAAGUUAGGGGAUCGAAGACGAUCAGAUACCGUCGUAGUCUUAACCAUAAACUAUGCCGACUAGGGAUCGGAUGAUGUUAAUUUUUUAAUGACUCAUUCGGCGCCUUACGGGAAACCAAAGUGUUU
rnacentral:rRNA from 1 species